GAGAGCGCGAGCACACUUGGCAAGCCGGUGGGUGACCUUGGAGGAGUCUUCUGUCUGUCUGUGUGUUCACUUCUCUUGUGACUCUGGGGUGAUAAGGGAUGUACUGCCAUACUUGGCUCUUUAUGUGUGUCUGGGGAACUCAGGGUACUUCCGUUGAAGUUAGCUGUAGUGACUUACUUGAAAGUAUAAUGAUGUUUUAGACUCUCUUCCCCUUUUUUUUCUUUAAACAGAUAGAAGGACAAGGACAGAAUCACCAGCACUGGCUGAAGCAACUUUGGACAUAUGGCAGAAAUAUUAAAGCAAUAAGGCAGUUUGGGUGACAGCAUACCAGUCAUACCAUGGAAAGGUUGUCUCCCAUUGCUCCUUUAGUCUGCAGUGGUAAAGGAGCUCUUUAUGGUAAGUGUCUCCUGAGCACACAAGCUUUGCUCUUUGAAAAGCCAGCCCUCAUAAUUACUAGUUAGACGUGUAUAAGUGAGCGCGUGUGCAGUCAUCUAACGGGUAACAGCCUUUCAGCUUCCUUUUCUCAUAACCAAAUACAUGUAAAACUACUUGAUAUGAUGUCUUACUGCUAACAGGGACAUUAAAGUCAGAACCCUAGGGCCACACAGUAAGUAAGGGACACCUGAUUUAGGGGGAUCCUUUAUCUUUUCAUUGAAAUAAAGAGAUCACUAGCACUGGCCUUUGAUUCCUACUUAGGAAAUUGUGGCAGAUUUCCUAGCUCCUCCCUCUUUUUUUCCCACAGAAGGCUGAGGGCAUGGCGUGGAAUUGUAAUGUCUCUGUAGCUCUUAUAUUCCAUGCAAAAACUAAAACAUAAUGUUCUUUUUUUUAAUAAUGUUGGUGUAAAGGAUUUGGCCCUUGCUCUAAUGUUCACAAACAUGAGACCACCAUUGAAUAUGAUGAAUUCAGUGAUAGUAACUGCUUAGUGUUUUAGAGUAAACAUUUGCCUUCAGCCUCGUUCUUGACUUCCCUAAUCUUUGUGGAGUUUAUUUUUGAAUUAUAGUCUCAUAGGUAACACAGUAUAUAAGCUUAUUCCCUGACUUACAAAUUUGCACUUUGUUUUAUGGGAUGACUAUCAUUUAGAUACUUGCUUUUUUUGAUGAUUAAGUUUUCUUGACAUACUCAUUAAAAAGUUAGUGAAUUAAAAAUAUUUAUUGAAAUUGGCUGUGUGAGAGUGUGCUGUAUAGCAUUUUGAAACAUGAAAAGGAUGAACACUUCUACAGUUUUGGUCAACUUUGCUGUGAAUCACAUUGAGGAAGAAACAUGUUUUGUAGUUUAUAAGCCACUCUGAAGGAUACAAACAACUUAUAUAUAGAACAAUCCUGAUAAAAAUGCCAUUCAAGUACAGAAAGAGACAAACCUUACUUACAAUGUUAAGGAGAAUAUUAGGAGGCAAAUCUAGAGCCAGGCAUGAGAAUUCACAAUUGUAGGCUCACCCCUCAGGAGACUAAGGCAGGAGGAUCCUGAGUUAGAGGCCUGCUUGGUGUAUCUAGUGAGACCCGUCUCUCAGCAAGCCGAAUAGAACCAAGAGCACAAAAUGAAUACCGAAUCUAAGAGUACACCAUAGACACUUUAAAAAACGGUUUCGUGCUAGAGAAUUCAAAAACAGUUUAGCAGUGGAAAAUGAAUUCAAAUAAUGUACUGUAUUCAUAGAUUAAGUGACAGUGUGGUUGAUAUUGUAAAAUGAUAGUACUGCCUCAGUGAAGUAUAUAUUGAAUAUAAGUAAGUCACAGUCUUUAGAAUUUUGUAGGGGUGACUUUGUCAGUAUGUGUAGGUACGUGUUCAUAUAGGUAUACACAGAAGCCGGAGUUCAGCCUCAGAUUGUGCUCUUCAGAUGCCAUCCACUUUGAAUUUCAGAACAGGAUCUCAUUGGCU